rnacentral:rRNA from 1 species
GACGAACGCUGGCGGCGCGCCUAACACAUGCCAGUCGAACGGAGCUGAGAGAAGCUUGCUUUUCUUAGCUUAGUGGCGAACGGGUGAGUAACGCGUGAGUAACCUGCCCUGGAGUGGGGGACAACAGUUGGAAACGACUGCUAAUACCGCAUAAGCCCACGAUCCGGCAUCGGAUUGAGGGAAAAGGAUUUAUUCGCUUCAGGAUGGACUCGCGUCCAAUUAGCUAGUUGGUGAGGUAACGGCCCACCAAGGCGACGAUUGGUAGCCGGACUGAGAGGUUGAACGGCCACAUUGGGACUGAGACACGGCCCAGACUCCUACGGGAGGCAGCAGUGGGGGAUAUUGCACAAUGGGGGAAACCCUGAUGCAGCGACGCCGCGUGGAGGAAGAAGGUUUUCGGAUUGUAAACUCCUGCCGUUAGGGACGAUAAUGACGGUACCUAACAAGAAAGCACCGGCUAACUACGUG